rnacentral:rRNA from 1 species
GACGAACGCUGGCGGCGUGCCUAAUACAUGCAAGUAGAACGCUGAAGAGAGGAGCUUACUCUUCUUGGAUGAGUUGCGAACGGGUGAGUAACGCGUAGGUAACCUGCCUUGUAGCGGGGGAUAACUAUUGGAAACGAUAGCUAAUACCGCAUAACAAUGGAUGACACAUGUCAUUUAUUUGAAAGGGGCAAUUGCUCCACUACAAGAUGGACCUGCGUUGUAUUAGCUAGUAGGUGAGGUAAUGGCUCACCUAGGCGACGAUACAUAGCCGACCUGGGAGGGUGAUCGGCCACACUGGGACUGAGACACGGCCCAGACUCCUACGGGAGGCAGCAGUAGGGAAUCUUCGGCAAUGGGGGCAACCCUGACCGAGCAACGCCGCGUGAGUGAAGAAGGUUUUCGGAUCGUAAAGCUCUGUUGUAAGUCAAGAACGGGUGUGAGAGUGGAAAGUUCACACUGUGACGGUAGCUUACCAGAAAGGGACGGCUAACUACGU